UGUAACAGGAGCUCAGGGGCACUUUUGUCAUGGAGAGAAUAUAUGCAGGGAGAUGGCUAAUGACCCACAGCUGGGAUCAUUGCUGCCUGCUCAGGACUUGAGUUACUGGAUGUCGGAGGCUUACAAAGUGCUCUUUCUGAACGAAAAGUGAUUUUUUGAAACUAAUAUCAACAAGAUCAGGACAACUGCAAUCACUUUACCCGACUUGUCAGUUUCCUAUUUAGAAAAUUCAGACUAUGGAGUGGAAUUGGCUCCUCAUGGGACCCAUGGUAAGUUUUUAAUUUUUGAAUUCACAAUCAGAUGAUUUGGUUAAAUUUUACAUCCUUGUGUAGCUC